rnacentral:lncRNA from 1 species
GAUAGAGAUAAAAUGUAAACAGCAUAAAUGUUCAGCAAAGUAAGAUCUACAAAUAAGUCAACAUUACCAAAAUGGUCAAUUGACCCCCUAAGGAGUUAUUGCCCUUUAUAGUCAAUUUUUAACAAUUUUUCAUAAAUCUUAGUAAUCUUUUAGAAAAAUCUUCUCCUCUGAAACUACUGGGACAAAUUAAAACAAACUUGGCCAC